UGUUGUUGUAGUGUUGUUUUUGCGUCCGAAGUGAGCGGUUUGCGGCCGGUUGUCGCGCUUCUCGGAAAUUUCGUGUUUUGAAACGUAAAAGGAGAAUUUCUGAGAAGAAUAGUUUGAAAUCGGUGUUUAGUAGAUUUCGAUCGUAAAUCGUACGCACAAUAGCGGGCUGAAUUUAAUUAGUUGUCCUAGCCAGUUCAAAGUGAAGCAAAAGUGCAA